rnacentral:rRNA from 1 species
GACGAACGCUGGCGGCGUGCUUAACACAUGCAAGUCGAACGGAAAGGCCCUGCUUUUGUGGGGUGCUCGAGUGGCGAACGGGUGAGUAACACGUGAGUAACCUGCCCUUGACUUUGGGAUAACUUCAGGAAACUGGGGCUAAUACCGGAUAGGAGCUCCUGCUGCAUGGUGGGGGUUGGAAAGUUUCGGCGGUUGGGGAUGGACUCGCGGCUUAUCAGCUUGUUGGUGGGGUAGUGGCUUACCAAGGCUUUGACGGGUAGCCGGCCUGAGAGGGUGACCGGCCACAUUGGGACUGAGAUACGGCCCAGACUCCUACGGGAGGCAGCAGUGGGGAAUAUGGCACAAUGGGCGGAAGCCUGAUGCAGCAACGCCGCGUGCGGGAUGACGGCCUUCGGGUUGUGAACCGCUGUCGCCUGUGACGAAGCGUGAGUGACGGUAAUGGGUAAAGAAGCACCGGCUAACUACGUG